CAUUUCUUCCAGAGAACAAGUCACCUCCAGCUGUCAUGCAGUGGCUAGCAAAGUUUUACCUUCAACUUGCUAAAUGAGGUCAGUUUGGAGAAUCACGACUGUUUUAAUCUGGCGAACAAAUUGCUUUCAAAGCCAACAUGGAACUUUGUUUUUCAUCAAUGAAUGAAUGGACUGGAUAACACACCAACCCCAUCACCUUCUGACUGGACCACCUUGAUGCAGGGAAAGCAAGAUGAGAGAUAUGAGGAAGGUGGACAGGAGAGGUACCUCCCAGCCAGGCUUGACAGUCCUUUGAAACGACAGCUGUUGUUCUUCCACCGGUCCAGUGGGUUCCCUUUCUUCCUGUCUAUGACAGCCUUCCUCGUGUAUCGCUCAAGCUCCUCGAGGAUCCCCUUGGGUGCCAGGACCUGACUUGUUGAGGUGAGCAUGCUGUCAUACAGAAGAGUGUCGC